GACGUAUGAUAUACGCAAACAACCUCGCGAAUAAAGUUUACAAAAAGCUGUCUAUCAAAUUGGGAUUUUUGUUACGAAGUUAGACACGACAUAUUUUACUAUUCAGAUACGCAAUAAUAUUUGUUACACACUUAUUUUUCAAAAUUGAUUUGUGAGACCUUCCUGAACGGAAAAUUCCUCGAACUUUUAAUUUUCGAUGGGUCCGUCUUGGGUGAACCGACUGACAGGAAGAAGAAAGACCACAAACCCACAAACCCCAAAAUUUGCGAAAUUCAUUAAUUCAGUUAAUUCUGCCUACAUUAACUUUUAAAAAGUUUGGUGGAAACACCUUUAUUUACUAGUUAGUUAAACAAGUGUUUUGAACACUUGUCUUAUCUUUUUAAAAAAGAAAAAAAAAGUAAAAAUAGUUACCAAGAUGAGAUUCGAACACACGACGACUCCCGUGUCGGUGCUCAGAGAGGCAAAAAUUUCCAUUCUUGUAGGACACAUUUGCGUUUUAAUACAAGCUCACGAGCAUUAUGUUAUAAUUCUUGUAACACGAUCAAAAAUUCCGAUCAUAGACCCGUUUAUGCGAUAUUUGAAACAACUGUUGAACCAUACAAAUCCAAGUUUGUAAUUGGAGGAGGACAUUUUGACAGAGAAGUUUACGUUGAAGCUAAUCUGAGAAGAAAUGCACCGUCAGGUUCGCAAGGAAACAGCCAUGUUUGUACUAUACUGUAACUCGUUAACAUUUGUACAGCUCUCAAGUUCAACAUAAAUAACCCGAAAAACCAUUUUUAUGAGAAAAUUAGAACGGUUCUCCUCUUUUUAAGUGCGAAGAUAACUUCUUCAGAGAGGUAACUUCAUUUCUUCUAGUUUGUGUUUUUGUUGUGUCCCCUAUUUUUUAUUCGCAUUUGUUAUUUUAAAUAUUAAAUUGUAGAUAUUCUAUCUUAAUUUAUACAAACUAUGUAUGUAUAUAUUGAAAUUAUAGCAGAAGUAUUUAUAUGUGUAUAUAAAUAUAAGUGAAUCGAAAAAUGUAGUUUCGCGUUGCGUUGCAAAA